CAGAGGGCAUCGCAGAGGAGAAACAGUCCAUGGCAGGCAGGGGGCAGCCAACCCAGCAAGCUACAAGCAACAAGCGAGGAGCACAGCUCUUUGUGUCCCUUAUAACUUAUCCAGGCUACCUGGCCUUAGGGUGAGUAGUACUCACACCUUUAGUCUUAGCAUCACACAGUGAAUCAAUCCCAGCAUCAAAUCCUUCAUCCCAGCGUUAUACACCCUGACCCAGCUACCUCCGAAAAGCUCCACCUAUGACCACAUGUGGCUCUGAGGCAACGUCUAAAUACAGCCAUAACAUUCUUUGAAUCAUUUUCUUUUAUUUUUCCCUUCCUGCUCCCUCCUCUUCCUUCUCUUUCUUCCCUCCCUCCUUCCCUUCCUGCCUUCCUUUUUCAGUAUGGAGGAUUGAACCCAGGGCCUCUGCACUGAACUACACCUCCACUCUUGUUCUUUUUAAAAUUCUUCAGUCCUUUAUUUAUUGAGACAGUUUUUUUCUAAAUUGCUACAUUGACUAGGGGCACACAGUCCCUGCUGAGGCCACACUACCUGUGACCUACAGACUCUCCCAAGUACCACCUCUCCAAGGUUCCCCCUGGGGAGCAAACCUCUAAUCCAGAGGCCUGUGGGGUCAUGUAGCAUCCAAACCAUAACAAGGCCCUAGAUUAAAAGCUGCUCUAGUUCCAGCAUUCUGGAGGCAGGAGGAUGGCAAGUGUGAGAGUUGAGGGUUCGAGAUGUAGCUUUGUGGUAGAACAUUUCCUGAGCAUGCACAGGUCCUGGUUUUGAUCCCCAGCACCACAAAGAGCGUGGGAGGGCAAGCCAGUGGGCAGUGGCAUGGUGGACCACACCUGUAAUCCCAGCAUUUGGGAGGCUGAGGCAGGAGGAUGCAAGGCAGGCUGGGCUGCAUGUUGAGUGACUGUCUCAGGAGAGGAAAAUAACAGGAAAAGAGACACUGAUGAAUAGAAACAGACCCAAAAAAACCCAGAUGGCAGAAGUGGUAGCCAAGGGCGUUAAAAUGUUACCUUGGCUUUGUGGUCAAGCAGCACCAGGCUUGGUUACCAGUACACACUGCCGUGACGCAGAAAAGCUCACAGGAACAUCCUGCAGAUUCUGUGCUGCGGGAACUGGGAGCCCACGCUGCUCAGGAGCUGGGAAGCCACGGAGCCGCCGACUCGGGCCUUGCCUGGACGCCGUGAGAGCCCGGAAGCCCGGCUCGUCCUGCGGAGCCGGCUGAGGGCCAAACACCCCGCCUCCCAAGUCAAGGAGGCCAAGGCUCAGAAAGGAAAAGAAACAAGAGCAGAGCCAUCCAACUGGGGCAGGCUUGGAAUGGACAGAACCAUUUGGUUUGGUUUCAAGACUAAUACCCUUAGCCACCGUUCUUCCCUGCCUCCAAGUGACACCCCCCAAAGAACUGUCCUGGCACCACCUCCUGGGGAGCAGCAGCCCAUCCUCAUCGGCAGCUCCAACCGUCCACAGAAAGGGGGGAGAACAGGAAGAGCCGGAAGUCUCACGGUGGCAGAUCCUGUGAAUAUGGAUGAGGACACAGUGGCAUGUUUACAUGAGCUGCCUUUCCUUUGGAAGACACUUGGCAACAUCAUGUACCAUAUUUUUGAUCAUACCUCAUAAAGACAUGCAGGAAAGAGGACUUCCAGAAGAGAUUUAGAAAGUGGCAGAAGGAUAGGCUAAGGAGGGAGGAGGAUUAUGAGGGGGACUCAUGGAAAUGUGUCUUUUUCUGUAAUAAUUGAAAACAACUGUAACAUUCAUUGCCUAGUUCAGUCACACCUCAUGUGCUGUUUUCUCCUCCGCACUGACUUUCACAUCCCCAUGCCCACUGUUCCUUCACCUUCAAGGACUCAGGGAGGCUCCUGGGCAGGGAUUUAUACAGGGUCAGGUCUGGGAAUCAUGCAGCAGCAGCAUUUGGUAGAAUGGUUUAGUCUUGAGCCCUUCAAGAGGAAACUCUGAAAACAAGACGUAAACGAGACAUUUAUGGAACCAAAGGAAUUAAAAGUGCACCUCCUACACAUCCAUUCAGGUAAUACUCAUGAGGUCUGGACUGUUGGACUCAUUUUCCUUUGGAGACACCAAAGCUCAGAGUCCAAGUAACUUCCCUGAGUUCUACCAGAAAGAGAGGUGAAGUCAGGCUUUGGAACCACAUAGGAUUGACUGCAAAUGCCAUGCCUUCCCCCUUGGUGGAAGGAAUGAUGAAUAUUAAGAGUGUAAGCCAAGAAAUCAUAAGAUAAAAGCAAAGUGGAAGGAAUAUAGACUUGGGAUUUUCAAACAAGAAGUAGAUCAUGACUUGAUAUUCUUUGGGGUAGAUAAGCAGGGUCAGAGAAAGUUCAGCAUGCAUCAGGGUGUUUGUAAAUUUUGUGAUUGCACUGCUAUAUCCUGGUCAAGAAGCAAAACAAACAAUCUAGUUUCCCCAAGCUUGCAAAGUAUUGCUAGGUCGCAGAAAAUCUCUCUAACAGGUUCCAUUCCUGCUAUGAUGUCUAUGUGGCAGUUUACCCCGUCAAUAAAUUCUGUAAGGACCAGAAAAGGAUUUUUGCUCUUUUUGACCAUUCUGCAGGCUUUUGAUUUUUAUGUUGUCAAGACUUCUCGGAGGUUCUCAAAUGCCAGUAGUAAAAUCCUCCCCCAUAACUCUUUCCUAUGUUUUGGUCAGCCCAUACCCAAGAAGAUGUCUUGCAUUGGGAAUAGAGGAUAUCAUCUCCCAGAAGACAUAUGUGGAUGGAAAACUUAAGACAAAGAAUUUGCAGACAUUUUCACAAAAGGCCAUCUAGCAAAUAUUUUAGGGCUAUGGCUAUUUUGGAAGUUGUUCCAGUUUCAUUACAAUAAUUGAAAAAUAAGGAAAAGUUCUGAAACAUAGCUGUAAAAUUCAGUUGAAAUGACUUAGGAAAUGUACCAGAAAUUUAACAACAACUUGGAGGAGGCCCUUUGCAUACGUGACAUGGCUUAAAACUCAAGCUGGGCUUAAAUUUUCACUCUCCUGCUUACUUUGUGGAGUUGCUUAACCAAUCAGAACUCAAAAUGCUUUCUCAGCAGUAAAAUGGAAAUUAGAAUGCGUGGAUUCCAAUUAGAAUGAAUUAUCAGAGCUAGAGAAUUAAGCAAUGUAAUGCAUAUCAGAUGCUUAGCACUAUACCUGGCAUAAAGAAAGUACAGCACUUAACAUGCUAGUUUUCUGUAUUGAUUUAGUAUUGAUCAAUUUGUCAUUUAUGAAUGUAGUGACUGUAGCCAAUGAUGUAAAAAAAUAAUUAAAAACAUGAAUAUAGCAAGUUAAUUAAUAUAAGAGAAAGAAGCCAUGGAUCAGAUAAUUGAAAGACAUUAACAAAUUAACAGGGAUGUUUAGAAAUUUUUUAUCAACAGAGGUGAAAUUGUUAAUAAAUGUUUGCUAAUUGAUGGGGAAAAUGAAAGCAUUUUGUCUCUUUUGGGAUCAUAGGGCUUUUACAAUGACACUGUAUCCUAUAACUUGAUGAAGUUAUCUUUAUUUUUUAAAUUAUAAAUAUGAAUACAUUACUUGCACCAAUUAAUGGGCUUCACUAGACCUUUCCAUACAUGGAUGUGUCCUGUAGUAAUUGUAUCCACCCUCCCUACCACCCUUUCUCGCCCUCCCUUCUUCUGUUUCCUUCUCCUGGCUCCUUUUCUUUUUCUUAGUAGUCUCUGCGCUCCUUUCAGGUUCCCUCCCUGCCUUCCUUCCUUCCUUGCCUCCUUCCUUUGUUCGUUGCUACACAGCACAUAGGAGAAUGGUGCUUGGCUUUCUGAGUCUGGCUGAUUUUGUUUAACAUGAUGAUCCAGUUCCAUCCAUUUUCCUGCAAGUGGCGUGAUUUUACUUGAGUCCGUCUUUAAGCAAAGGUGUCCUGUGGAUGAGCUAGCAUUUCAGAACGUCUGAAUAUUUAAGGAACUUGUAGCACAUAGCAUUGAGUUCCUGCUGCUGCAUACUGUCCACGUAAGUGUCAGAAAAUCUACUCUUUCCUUUUUCCACUUUGGAAUGCUUUCCUUGUUCUUGGUUUCUCCUUUGUUUAUCUAAAACAGCCUUUCCUUAUGACUUUUGUUAUUGUUUUCCCUUUUGAACAUAUGGUUAGGGGUUAGAAGUUUCAUUUCAAGGUCUGCCCUGUUUGAUCACCCCACAAAACAAAACAAAACAAAACAAAACAAAACAAAACAAAACAAAAGGCUUGCGCCUCUGAGAGCUCUGUUCAUUGUUCCCAAAUAACGCAUGCACGGGAACAAUGAACCUUUGGUCUCCCACGCUGAUUAGCUGCCGCAUCUGUAUUCAGAACACCUUUCCUCCCUCUGGGUCCCCUCAGGCUCCCCCUGCUCCUGUGAGAACACUGCUGUCAUCCCCUGCACUGGCCCUGUGCCCAGUGUCCACCAAAACAAAUGUUUUCUCCACUUUCACGAUCACAUCUUCCUUUCCAAAUCAGGGAAAUGCUUAUAAACGUUGAGAGACUCCUUCUGUCACUCUUUCAAUCGUAGGAAAGUAUACAUGUAGUAUAAACUUUACCUUUGAAACCAUCCUAAAUUUCCAGAACGGAUAAAUGGUCAAAUAAACUAAAUUAUGUCUACAUCAUAACAUGGGUACUAUGCAGGUUUAAAAAGCCAGGCCUAAAAAAUGUUACUUGAUGGAAAUAAAAUUUGCUCUGAUGUGAUGCAAAAAGAAGAAGGCAAUGAAUAAAAUUACAGGCUAAGUAUGUUUGAAAUCACAUGCAAAGCAUCUAUCUUUAUAGAUAUAUCAAAAUGUUAACAGUAUUUCACUUGGAUGGUAAAAUUAUGGAUUAUUUCAUUAUUUUUAGAUAUUUUUUAAUUUCCCAGUUUUAACAGUGAUGUUGUUUUACUUUUAUAAUUACAAAAAAGAAUUUUGUUCGGAGAAAGCUUGACUCUGACUGCAGUGAGUAAGUCAUUGAUUAAAUAUAUUUGUAAAGUUUUAGUGGUUGGGUUGAUGCUUAAAUAAAACAGACUAUUUUUCAGGGUAUAUAAAUCUGGAGAGUUUUCCUUUUAAUGUGCUUUCUGCCAGCUCUCUUCUCUGAAUGUCUUACUUCAGGGCUCUGAGAAGAAUGAAUGGAACAAGAUCUUUGUUCUUCACCUUUGACUUGACAAUGAACUGGUUCCAAAGCAAAACCCAUUUCUCAGCCUUUCUUUCCUCUUGCCAAUAGAAAAACCGACAACAGAAAAAGAGUAUUCACACACUGGUCUAGUAUAAGGGUGCCUCUUGCUCUUUUACCUACAUUACACUUUAGAUUGCUUUGAAGACUUUUUGGAGUUAGGAUCUUGAAAAAACAAAUAAGCAUGUAUUUCUAUUUAUCUCUGUUGUCAGCGUCUCUGACAUGCAAACAUACAGUGAGCAUUUUCAUAUGCUGAGAAUAUUCAGCAAACCACUUCUAAUGGCUUCACCCGGUGCCCCAGAAAUCCAACACUCACAUGGCUGC
ensembl:lncRNA